GGGGAAUUUUCCGCAAUGGGCGAAAGCCUGACGGAGCAAGACCGCGGGGGGGAGGAAGGUUCUUGGAUUGUCAACCCCUUCUCUCAGGGAAGAAGAAAGUGACGGUACCUGAGGAAGAAGCAUCGGCUAACUCCGUGCCAGCAGCCGCGGUAAUACGGGGGAUGCAAGCGUUAUCCGGAAUGAUUGGGCGUAAAGAGUCCGUAGGUGGCUCAUCAAGUCUGCUGUUAAAGAGCGAGGCUUAACUUCGUAAAGCAGUGGAAACUGAAGAGCUAGAGUAUAGUAGGGGCAGAGGGAAUUCCUGGUGUAGCGGUGAAAUGCGUAGAGAUCAGGAAGAACACCGGUGGCGAAAGCGCUCUGCUGGGCUAAAACUGACACUGAGGGACGAAAGCUAGGGGAGCGAAUGGGAUUAGAUACCCCAGUUAGUC
rnacentral:rRNA from 1 species